rnacentral:rRNA from 1 species
CAAGCGGUGGAGCAUGUGGUUUAAUUCGAUGCAACGCGAAGAACCUUACCUACUCUUGACAUCCAGAGAACUUUCCAGAGAUGGAGGGGUGCCUUCGGGAGCUCUGAGACAGGUGCUGCAUGGCUGUCGUCAGCUCGUGUUGUGAAAUGUUGGGUUAAGUCCCGCAACGAGCGCAACCCUUAUCCUUUGUUGCCAGCGAUAAAGUCGGGAACUCAAAGGAGACUGCCGGUGAUAAACCGGAGGAAGGUGGGGAUGACGUCAAGUCAUCAUGGCCCUUACGAGUAGGGCUACACACGUGCUACAAUGGCGUAUACAAAGAGAAGCGACCUCGCGAGAGCAAGCGGACCUCACAAAGUACGUCGUAGUCCGGAUUGGAGUCUGCAACUCGACUCCAUGAAGUCGGAAUCGCUAGUAAUCGUAGAUCAGAAUGCUGCGGUGAAUACGUUCCCGGGCCUUGUACACACC